CCUACGGGUGUCAGCAGUGGGGAAUAUUGCACAAUGGGGGAAACCCUGAUGCAGCGACGCCGCGUGAGUGAAGAAGUAAUUCGUUAUGUAAAGCUCUAUCAGCAGGGAAGAAAAUGACGGUACCUGAGUAAGAAACCCCGGCUAACUACGUGCCGGCACCAGCGGUAAUACGUCGGGGGCAAGCGUUAUCCGGAUUUACUGGGUGUAAAGGGAGCGUAGACGGCAGUGCAAGUCUGGAGUGAAAGGCGGGGGCCCAACCCCCGGACUGCUCUGGAAACUGUACGGCUGGAGUGCAGGAGAGGUAAGUGGAAGUCCUAGUGUAGCGGUGAAAUGCGUAGAUAGUAGGGGGAACACCAGGGGCGAAGGCGGCUUACUGGACUGUAACUGACGUUGAGGCGCGAAAGCGUGGGGAGCAAACAGGAUGAGAUACCAGUAGUC
rnacentral:rRNA from 1 species